CACUGAUACCGUACUGAUAGCGGCAUGGAUCCGAAGCAUCUCUAAGGAUAAUAUAAACUCUCCGAACCCUAUUCCGACUCAAUACGUCCACGGCGUACAUAACGCUAACAUAUCUUUCGAAAUAUCUGAGUUUGGGUAUACGGGUAAACCUAACCCCUAUGGAAGAUGGGUUACAUGGCUAAAUUGAGAGGA
rnacentral:ribozyme from 1 species